rnacentral:rRNA from 1 species
AUUGAACGCUGGCGGCAUGCCUUACACAUGCAAAUCGAACGGCAGCACGGGUGCUUGCACCUGGUGGCGAGUGGCGAACGGGUGAGUAAUACAUCGGAACAUGUCCUGUAGUGGGGGAUAGCCCGGCGAAAGCCGGAUUAAUACCGCAUACGAUCUACGGAUGAAAGCGGGGGACCUUCGGGCCUCGCGCUAUAGGGUUGGCCGAUGGCUGAUUAGCUAGUUGGUGGGGUAAAGGCCUACCAAGGCGACGAUCAGUAGCUGGUCUGAGAGGACGACCAGCCACACUGGGACUGAGACACGGCCCAGACUCCUACGGGAGGCAGCAGUGGGGAAUUUUGGACAAUGGGCGAAAGCCUGAUCCAGCAAUGCCGCGUGUGUGAAGAAGGCCUUCGGGUUGUAAAGCACUUUUGUCCGGAAAGAAAUCCUUGGCCCUAAUACGGUCGGGGGAUGACGGUACCGGAAGAAUAAGCACCGGCUAACUACGUG